UGUGGAGAAGACUGAAGGGGAGAAAGCACAGGAUGAGACUUUCUAAACAUCACUGGGAUCCAACUGAAGGUCAUGAUGAGGCUAGCAUCCUAAGUGAAUGAAAUUCUCUUCUCAAAGAAAUCCUUCUGCUGUAUUUCCAUUGUGAGAAGUGCAACCCUGUGGGAGAGAAGGAUAUCU